rnacentral:lncRNA from 1 species
GAAAAAAAUGAGUCAUAAUUUUAUACUGAUAUUUAUAAGAGUUUUCGAUAAGGGGGAAAUGGCCUUGAGUGGUGGAGAAACCAGGCUGUAAUGUUGGAUAUGAAGCCUGACCAGGCUGAUCCGUUGUGAUUACUUGUUUAACUGUUAACCGCAAGCCCUGAGGGAGCAGAGAUGGUGUCUGUCUUGCUCACCACUGUAUGUUCAGUGCCUGGCAUGGCACCAUAUAGGCACCUAUUAAAUGGGAGUGAAUGAACCAGUCUUGCGGGAGGGUCUUUCUUGAUGUUGGUUUCUGACGAAGCUCCCCUGUCCUGCUGCAUUUCAGAGCCAUGGAGAAGCUAAGCGGGCAUCAGUUUGAGAACUACUCCUUCAAGAUUUCCUACAUCCCGGAUGAAGAGGUGAGCUCCCCUUCGCCCCCUCAGCGAGCCCAGCGUGGGGACCACUCUUCCCGGGAGCAAGGCCACGCCCCUGGGGGCACUUCUCAGGCCAGACAGAUUGAUUUCCCGCUGCGGAUCCUGGUCCCCACCCAGUUUGUUGGUGCCAUCAUCGGAAAGGAGGGCUUGACCAUAAAGAACAUCACUAAGCAGACCCAGUCCCGGUACGUGCCUGUGGGGCUUCCUUUGCUUCCUUCUGAGGGGUCCCCUGCGUGCUGGUGGGUCUCAGCCACUCUUAGGUCACAAUUGCUUACAUCAGCAGUGGGGGGCUGUGCUGUAAGAGACAGUGGCUUCUUUCAACAGGACUACUAACAGACUAACAUCAAGCUGGGGGCUGUGACAAGCUUUCAUGCUGAGAGGCUAAAAGUUCAUAAAGAGGGUACUGAUAACCUCACAGCCAGGACUGUUCCUGUAAGCGAACUAAUGCUUAUGGAUGCAUCGAUUUCUACAAAAGCAGAGGGUAGAUAUCCAUAGAAAAGAGAACUCUGGAGCUGCAGAGAAGCCUGUCACCAUCCAUGCCACCCCAGAGGGGACUUCUGAAGCAUGCCGCAUGAUUCUUGAAAUCAUGCAGAAAGAGGCAGAUGAGACCAAACUAGCCGAAGAGAUUCCUCUGAAAAUCUUGGCACACAAUGGCUUGGUUGGAAGACUGAUUGGAAAAGAAGGCAGAAAUUUGAAGAAAAUUGAACAUGAAACAGGGACCAAGAUAACAAUCUCAUCUUUGCAGGAUUUGAGCAUAUACAACCCGGAAAGAACCAUCACUGUGAAGGGCACAGUUGAGGCCUGUGCCAGUGCUGAGAUAGAGAUUAUGAAGAAGCUGCGUGAGGCCUUUGAAAAUGAUAUGCUGGCUGUUAACGAAUGCUGGAGAGCACAGACAGGGCAUUCGAGCUGAUCUUUGGGAUGAAAGAAAGCUUCCUGCAUGAGGGGUCAUCUGUGCUCAGGUGAAACCCACA